CAACUCCAAAAGGCUGGGCGAAUAUCCACAAAUGGGUUCAGCAUAUAACUGGGGAGAUUUCUGGUGGUUAGUUAAAAGCCAGCAUUCUUCAGGAACUUGUGAAACUGGUUCCCUGAUGGGGAAUGUCCUUCUGAGUAUAUGUUUAUCUUAUUGGUUGUUGAAUAAAGUACUGUUGGCCAAUGAAGAAGCAGGUUAGGUGGGACUAGGGUCAAGCAGGUUUCUGGGAAAUGUAGUAAAAGGAAGUCUUGUGAUACAGGCAGGAAGUGACAUAGCAGGCAGACUCAUAUAUAAGAAAGGGCAAGAAGGAAGUCGUUCUUUUUCUCUCUUCCUCCUGCUCUCUGCUCUGCAGUCACCACGUUUCUUCCAGACAGGCCUGUGCACACUCCCUCUCCCUACCCUUUACUAAUAAAACUCUUUUUGUUUUGUUUUUUUUUUCGAGACAGGGCUUCUCUGUGGCUUUGGAGGCUGUCCUGGACUAGCUCUUGUAGACCAGGCUGGUCUCAAACUCACAGAGAUCCUCUGCCUCUGCCUCCCGAGUACUGGGGUUAAAGGUGUGUGCCACCCUGCCCCACCCCCCCUCCCGCCACUAAUAAAACUCUUCAGUGGGUUUUGUUGUGUAUCUUGUGGUCUGUUCUCGAGCACCGUACAUAGCAACUUGCUAUCCCCUUUGAUGUUUCCCAUCCCAGUUCACAGGACCCUCUUCCCCCAGAUAGCCAUUCUCUUUAUAAUUCUCGAAAAUAUCCUCCCUCUCACCUUUCUCUGCUUUCUCCGAGAGACAGCCUUGGCUAUUUGGAAUACACUUUUUCUUUUCUACCCACAGGGCAGCCAGUUUGGUCUCUAUCACGUAGAUGCUGGGGAUCAAACUCAGCUGUUAGGCUUGGUGACGAGCAAACACCUUUGCCCACUCUGAAGCUGGUCUUGAACUUCUGGACUCAAAGAGAUCAUCCUACCUCAGCUUUGCUGUCAGUUUAUAAUAACAGACAGACUGCCAGAUCCUGACAGUGACCCAAAGACUCCAAAGAAGAUUAUGAGGCACCUCAGUUCCUGCACCUGGACCAGUGAGCAAGAUGCUCAGAUGUGAUACCUGCUGUCUGCCAGGACCUGGCCAAGACUGUGGACAAAGCUGCUGGACACUGGAAAAUUGAUUGUACCCCUUUGCCUAGACAAAACAAGGUUUCUGCUUCUGGAAGACACAUCUGAGUAUCAGUUGCUGACCACAGGCUGUUCCUAAGUAGAUUUCGAACCCUGGACUUGCUGUGGAUGUAAACCAGUCCAGCUGAUAUGGACACCCCCUGUCUCUGCAACAGAAUCUGCCAACCAGAAGCUCCUGAUGGAUUCCCCAUUGCCUAAAUUCCUUUUUUUGCUUUUGACUAACCUUUCAACCUUCUUGGGUCCCUAACUUCGUCCCAGGUCAGCAGGAAGUAGCAUGGGAAAGAAUAUGUCGUCCAUUUUCCCUGGUUAAAAUGCUAAGUCAGAAGGAACUCCCUUGCAUGGGGAUGCCAAUAUCUCUCACUUCCUGAUGAGGAUGAGGGAGAGACAGCAAUUCCAUGAUUGGAAUUUCCAAAAAAGAAAAUGGGGGAAUGAAGGGACCAGCUCCCCAUUUCAGCAGCCAUAACAGCUGGACACGUGCUUUUCUGACCUUGCCUUGGUCACUAGAAGUUAGGUGCCUGCCUCGUGGCAAGGAACCAAUCAGAAGUUAGCUGGUGGUGCUAUGAUUUACGGCUCUGGGUGUGCUUUAUGGACAAGCGCACAGCAAUGACGCACAGAGCAUAGCAGCCACCCUGGGAGGGCCUAUGGGCCAUAACAACCAGUUGACCAAUCAACACAGGGCAAGCCCUCCAAGCCUGGAGGCACACCAAUCGUGAGGCUGUGCGUACCCCUAGACACUCCCCUUACGCUGCCCUAUAAGAUCUCUAUACAGCCAGUUCGAGCUGUCUUUGCUAGCCAUCUGCUAUGGCGGGUGGGUGAAAGACCAGAGCUAACAUGGGUUUAGCUUGUUAAACAACAAUAAAGCCUCAUGCAGUUUGCAUCAAGCUUUUGACUCAGCCUGGUGAUUGGGGUGGCCGAGGUCCUGGGCUAAGAUCCUGGAAGCCUGAGCUUUCCCGGGGUCUUACAGUGUGUGCUACUUGGCUUGGC
rnacentral:lncRNA from 1 species